rnacentral:rRNA from 1 species
GACGAACGCUGGCGGCGUGCUUAACACAUGCAAGUCGAACGGGGCGAAGUGAUAGCUUGCUAUUAUGGAGCCUAGUGGCAAACGGGUGAGUAACGCGUAGGCAACCUGCCCUUCAGAUGGGGACAACACCUCGAAAGGGGUGCUAAUACCGAAUGACGUUUCCUGGUCGCAUGACCUGGAAACCAAAGGCCGGGCAACCGGUCACUGAAGGAUGGGCCUGCGUCUGAUUAGCUAGUUGGUGGGGUUAACGGCCCACCAAGGCGACGAUCAGUAGCCGGUCUGAGAGGAUGAACGGCCACAUUGGGACUGAGACACGGCCCAAACUCCUACGGGAGGCAGCA